CGAGAAUAGCUUGCUAUUCGGCGUCGAGCGGCGGACGGGUGAGUAAUGCUUGGGAAUAUGCCUUUUGGUGGGGGACAACAGUUGGAAACGACUGCUAAUACCGCAUAAUGUCUACGGACCAAAGUGGGGGACCUUCGGGCCUCAUGCCAAGAGAUUAGCCCAAGUGAGAUUAGCUAGUUGGUAAGGUAAUGGCUUACCAAGGCGACGAUCUCUAGCUGGUUUGAGAGGAUGAUCAGCCACACUGGGACUGAGACACGGCCCAGACUCCUACGGGAGGCAGCAGUGGGGAAUAUUGCACAAUGGGCGCAAGCCUGAUGCAGCCAUGCCGCGUGUGUGAAGAAGGCCUUCGGGUUGUAAAGCACUUUCAGUUGUGAGGAAAGGGGUGUAGUUAAUAACUGCAUCCUGUGACGUUAGCAACAGAAGAAGGACCGGCUAACUCCGUGCCAGCAGCCGCGGUAAUACGGAGGGUCCGAGCGUUAAUCGGAAUUACUGGGCGUAAAGCGUGCGUAGGCGGUUUGUUAAGCAAGAUGUGAAAGCCCAGGGCUCAACCUUGGAACUGCAUUUUGAACUGGCAGACUAGAGUAUUGUAGAGGGUGGUGGAAUUUCCAGUGUAGCGGUGAAAUGCGUAGAGAUUGGAAGGAACAUCAGUGGCGAAGGCGGCCACCUGGACAAAUACUGACGCUGAGGUACGAAAGCGUGGGGAGCGAACAGGAUUAGAUACCCUGGUAGUCCACGCCGUAAACGAUGUCAACUAGCCGUCUGUAGACUUGAUCUGUGGGUGGCGUAGCUAACGCGCUAAGUUGACCGCCUGGGGG
rnacentral:rRNA from 1 species